rnacentral:rRNA from 1 species
AGUGAACGCUGGCGGUAGGCCUAACACAUGCAAGUCGAACGGCAGCACAGUAAGAGCUUGCUCUUACGGGUGGCGAGUGGCGGACGGGUGAGGAAUACAUCGGAAUCUACUUUUUCGUGGGGGAUAACGUAGGGAAACUUACGCUAAUACCGCAUACGACCUACGGGUGAAAGCAGGGGAUCUUCGGACCUUGCGCGAUUGAAUGAGCCGAUGUCGGAUUAGCUAGUUGGGGGGGUAAAGGCCCAGCAAGGCGACGAUCCGUAGCUGGUCUGAGAGGAUGAUCAGCCACACUGGAACUGAGACACGGUCCCGACUCCUACGGGAGGCAGCAGUGGGGAAUAUUGGACAAUGGGCGCAAGCCUGAUCCAGCCAUACCGCGUGGGUGAAGAAGGCCUUCGGGUUGUAAAGCCCUUUUGUUGGGAAAGAAAAGCAGCAGGUUAAUACCCCGCUGUUCUGACGGUACCCAAAGAAUAAGCACCGGCUAACUUCGUG